rnacentral:rRNA from 1 species
UACGUAGGGGGCAAGCGUUGUCCGGAAUCAUUGGGCGUAAAGCGCGUGUAGGCGGCUCCGGUAAGUCCGCUGUGAAAGUCGGGGGCUCAACCCUCGGAUGCCGGUGGAUACUGUCGGGCUUGAGUACGGAAGAGGCGAAGUGGAAUUCCUGGUGUAGCGGUGAAAUGCGCAGGAUAUCAGGAGGAACACCAAUUGCGAAGGCAGCUCGCUGGGACGUUACUGACGCUGAGACGCGAAAGCGUGGGGAGCAAACAGG